rfam:Trichobilharzia regenti genome assembly, scaffold: TRE_scaffold0011952
GUACUGCUGAAGAGUCCCAAACUAGGACGAAACAGAUGUCCAAUAC